GGCAUGGCUUAAUGGGAGAGCGCUUGCCUAGCAUGCAUGAAGCCCUGGGUUUGAUUCCCCAGUACC
rnacentral:tRNA from 1 species